rnacentral:misc_RNA from 1 species
AUCCUCCUUGGAAAAUUAGUUAUGGCCUCCUGCAAUGGCACAUGAGAAUCUUUAUGAUGGCACCAACCUAAUAUUUCAAGCACUUAAGAACAUAUCAUCCUCCUUGUUAGGUUACAAACCAAAAUCAAAUCUUAGGAUUCCUUUCAAGAAAGCAUUCAAAUGUGGCUUCAACAUCCAACAUCAAUUCUACAGCAGAUGGGCUAAUAGGAAUCCCGCCAGAUGGAGUCACAAGAGCAUCCACCAAUACAUCAUGCAGAGUUACUGGUAUAACUCCUUCAUCCAUGAUUUGCAGAGAAUAAGACAGUCCAACAAAAAGAGGAUCCUUCCAAUUCCUCUCCCUUGCUAGCUCUUGAUACUUCCUCAAAAAGGUGUCAUAGUAACCUCCACCACGGCCCAAGCGUCUUCCAGAUUUGUCAAAAGUGAGUCCAGGCAGGAGGAACAAAUCAACCGGGACAUUUGCCUGCAUUACAUCUUCCCGCACAUUUCCAACAUGAUCUUCUGGAGCAGGUUCUAAAAUAUUCAUUGAGUUUGCAAUUAGAUCAUCCAUGCUUGAGAUGUUGAGCAUUCGCAUAUGACUAUUCUUGUCCUCCACCCUCGGAACAUAAAGCUUUUUUCCAGUCUGAGCACAACCAUCUUUGGCCGGAUUCCGCAGAAUUUCCGUCAACAAUUUCGACGUAUCAACCUCCCGUAGAGAGGUGCAACUUAUAUAAGCACAUAAACUCCGGCUAGACUUGAACCAUGGAGCUUCUAAGACAAUACUCUGGAUUGCAUUGUCUUCUUGGGAUCGGAGGGACGGAUCCAUGAACUUGAGGGCCUUGCGGACUUGGGUUCGAAGAAUCCCUUUUUGCUUGAAUAUUUCGUUGAGAUGGGUGGAUUGAUCAAGGUCGGUGCUCAUGGUGACGUUUGGGCGGAGGCAGGCGGGACGGGAGGGGAGGAUUCGUGGCGGUGGUGACAGUAGUGAAGUUGGUUGAAUCAUGAGCGCAGCCUUGACCCUUGGCGUUGGGUUGGAGGCAAGCCAUCUUGUCCACAUUUU